AGAAGGGGUCCUCGACCGGCUCGACUAGAAGACGAAGGGGGCGGCUCCCCGGCUUCCUGCGGCGUCGGUGGCGAGCUGAGGUGGGAGCGGGUCGCGGCAGCGAAGGCGACAGCGGUGGCGGCGGCGCCAUGGCGGGGCUCGCAGGAUCCCUGCUGCCUUGGUGAUCCCGGGCUGACAGCCAGAGAGCACAGCGGCUCAGCUCCUGGAGAGCGAGGGUUGAAGAAAGCAGAGGGCAGCCGCCCACGCCCGCUAGCUCCUGUUAGGUCGGUUCCUGCAGCGGUGCCCGGUGGCCUUGGCGAAGGCCCUGUCCGGCAGAGAUCAUGUAUUGCCUCCAGUGGCUGCUGCCCGUCCUCCUCAUCCCCAAGCCCCUCAACCCCGCCCUGUGGUUCAGCCACUCCAUGUUCAUGGGCUUCUACCUGCUCAGCUUCCUCCUGGAGCGGAAGCCUUGCACAAUUUGUGCCUUGGUUUUCCUGGCAGCCUUGUUCCUCAUCUGCUAUAGCUGCUGGGGAAACUGUUUCCUGUACCACUGCUCCGAUUCCCCGCUUCCAGAAUCGGCGCACGACCCCGGCGUCGUGGGCACCUAACAGCCAGCCCAGUUAGCUUUCCAAGGAAGCAGAAGACGGGAGGGGAGGCAUUGACAUAGGUCAUAAAGCAUUGGAGUUUCAAAUCCCGCAGUCCCGCGGGUGCCACAUUCCUGACGGCGCCUUUUUGGCCUGUGAUGUUUUAUCCUUAUAAUGUGAAUAAUGGGCACUGACCGGUGCUUUUAUCGUAGAGUCCUGUAGUCGUGGGUGGUCUUGUGGUUGUGUGUGUUCUGUCCCCAUCUUGGCCCCCGGCUGGCAGGAUGGCCACCCCGCUCGCCGCAUUCCCGUGAGGCAUCUGCACCCAUCCUGGUCAACUGCCCCAGCAUGACCGGGGCAGAUAGAAUGCCAGUCUCAUUGUCACCUCUGUCCUCCCUUCUGAGUAUUACUGACUCCUCCGUCCCUCUCUUGGCUUCCUGUAAGUUCUCUUUACCCCUUUCCUUUUUUGGGGAGCACCUGUUCAAGACAGGGCUUGUUUUUGCACUUAUCUCGAAUAUAAAGAGAUUGCUGACGCCCGAGAGCCUCGCUUUUUCAUCUUUCUUUCCCUGCCGACAGGCUAGACAGCACUAUGUCUCACCUGCUGGCCACAGAUCUUCAGUAUUUUCCCCACUUCAUUUUGAAGGAAGAAGUAACAGAUAACAUGUUGCUCUUUCAUCCAGGAGUCUGGGCUCCUGCUCAGCCACCCAGCUUCGCUUCCUUUGCCCUUCCUCCUGCCUCUCAACUGUCAUGAGGAGGGGGGCCUCAUUGUGUCUCCCAUGCAUGCGCUGCAGGAUUGAUGUGCAGUGUGUUUAUGUAGAUCUAGCAGUCCCCAGCUGAGUGAAUGGGAGCGUACUUGGGUGAUUCAUGACAGCCAGGAUCCCCUCGAUAGGUGUUUGGAUAUUUUUUGGUGUGGUGUGCUGUGCGUGCUGCGUGUGUGUUUACGUACCUGUACAAGUACAUGUUGUAAAUCCCUUUUAAAGAAGCUUUAUUGAACGUGUUCUGAUUUUGAGGUGUCACAAUAGCUAGCUCAUAGGUGCCGCUACAGUGUGUAUUUAGCAUGGGGAUUGCAGAGUGACCAGCACACUGGACUCCAAGGUGGUUCAGACGAGACAGAGGCGAGCAGUGGCCAUCGCCCUCAUCCACGAGUUUCUCCGGUCCUGCGCGUGUAUAGACUGUACCUUAUGAAGAAUACACAGGAAGACUUUGUGACUGUCACUUGCUCUUUUCUUUUUUCUGCGCUUCAGUAAAAGUGUCGGCAAAUGAGACUGUCUCCUGGCCCCUGCCCACUGGGGAUCAGCAUGGUUGUCCCUCCAGUCUAAAGCAUCCAUCUUUCUCUUGCCUGAAGCGGGAGGGAGGUGGGCCAGGCAGAGGACAGAACUGGAGGCAGUCCACCUAGGGAAUGGGACCUCAAGGCCACACUUGUGGGACAUUUGGACUGUUGUUCUGGAGCUUUUAUUUCUGGUGUGUUCGUUGCACAGCUGUUUGAAAUGUUUAAUAAAGCUUUAUAAACUUUACUCUGUGGUUUUAUGUGGCUGCAGUCCAUUUGGGUCCUGGUAUUGGAUUUCUAAGUUGGUGGGGGGCAGGGGGUAGCAUGGAGGGGCAGAGUCCUUGGCGCCAGAGUACCUUAGCCUGAAAAUUCGAUCUGCUCUCUGGAGAGCAGAUGGUGGGAUUGGGGGUGGGGGGAGCAGAGGGCAGGCCAGGCGGUGAACAGGAGGGAGCCUGAAAGUUUUCAGAGAGGAGACAUGUGCGUUUCUCAGCUCCCAUGGCUUCUCGCCUGAAACUGUUUCCCUCCGUAGGAGACUGGAGUAACCGAUCCCUUGACAAACAACUUAAGACAGCUGGAGCUCUAAUCAUCAAGGAUUUUUAUGGUGCUGCUUUUGAAGUAAAAAUAAAGUGAAACCCCUUACAGCAUUUCAAGUGGAAAAAUAAAUAAGGCUAGCCGGCCAUGCAGGGGGCUCCGGGCGAUGGCUGGAAGCGUGAUUCUGUGCUGUCGAUGUGCACGUGCUCCUGUGGCCGUGACCUUUGACACAAAGCCAGGUGCCUUGUCAGGGCCCCAUGCUGGGUGUCCACCGCUCCAUCUUGUCUCCUAGAAAACAUAACAGGAGCACUGCCUGUCCAAGGCACAGGACUAUUGUGAGAGUUUAUUGUUGUGAAAGAACUUGGGUCAUUUUACCCAGAUUGCUAAUUUAUUGCUAUAAAGUACUGUGUAGUUUUCUCCUGCCCUUUCCAAUCUCCUCAUUGUCCGUUUAUCUCUUUUUCAUUCCUACUGUUGCCUAUCAGCGCUUUCUCUUUUCUUGGUCAAAACUUGCCAAAGAUUUGUUCAUUUUAAAGGUAUUUUCAGAGAACCAAACUUAUUGGUUAUAUCUGCUGGGUGUUUUCCUUUCUGAUGCUUCUGGUUUUUCUCUCUGCAUUCUUUUUUUUUUUCUUCUGGGUUUCUGGAUGUAUUUUGUGGUUCAGCAAAGUCUUGUCAAGCUGAGGAGUCCUACACAUGGAAGGGAUGGUUUGUUCAGCAAACACAGGGGUCCUGGGCUUGCUGGGGAUUUCAGGGCCAAGACCCGGGCCUGACUCUCCAGGAGCUCAUGACUCUAGCCUCGUGGGAAGACUUAAGAAAAUAGACAACUGCAAAUUCCAAAAACAAAACAAACAAGCAAAAAAGGCUUUUGUGGCCAUGCUCUCCCAUGGAGACACCUGGAUGAUAAAUGAAGCCAAGAUUAUUGCUUAUUUUGCUCUCCUCUAGAAAGCAGCUUUCUGUCAUAGGUCAGGCUCACUAAAGAGUCACAAACAGGCCUCCCUCUGAAAGAUUUGUGGCCCUUUCAUCAGGGAGCCUGCAGGCCGCCCCUCCCCAGGGUGACUGCCAGAUCAGCGUUCUGUCCGUCCAGCGCUGCUCUCCAUCUUACUGUGGCAGCACCCAGCCCCUCCUUCUGAAAUGCCUUUCAGGAAAAUGAGAAGGAGAUGCCUCUCCUGCAAAAGAGCAAGGUACGAGGUCUUAGAAAACCACACCCAGCAAUUAUGGUGGUCUCUGUGGCUCCUAGUGUGAAAUGGCUGGUACCUGGUAACCACAAGAUCCCAUGAGGCCUUGGUCUGGGCUUUUGUAGGAGCUGGUCCUUGCCCUCAUCUGGUCCUCUGUUUCCUUAUAGGUAAAAUGUGGUUUUUGGAGCAAACAUAGUCUUCCUACCCCUAACAUACUGGGAAUCCUUUCUCCUAGGAUCUUCGUGUCCUCCUGGAUGCGCUUGAGGAAGGUGACUGAGCUCUGGGGAGGUGGUAUUGCCCUUGCAGGGCAGCCUGCGUGUGCUUUAUGAUUUAGUCAUUGUACCACGUUAGCCCGGGAGGCCUCUGUCAGGAGGCCUUCCUAGACUUCUUCCCUCUCCCGAGAGAUCCACUUGCCCAGGUGACUUCACUCAACCCUCUGUUGAGUGCUAAUGUUCAUGCAGACUUCCUCAAUGACUGGGUUUCCCCCACCUCCCAGGGGCUUGCGUUGUUAUUUAAGCCAAGGUACUUAAGCAGUAUGGAAUCCUAUACGGGUCUAGGCCUUGGGGCCACACAGUGGACAAGGUGGAUCGUCUCUGUCAUCAGGGAGUCAUCUGAGCUAAAGAGAAUGACAUUGGGCAGAUAAUCCCACAGAUAAGAUAUAACAAGUGCCCCAAGAGGAGAGGACCUGGUGUAGGCUGGGGAGAAUUGAGGUUCAGGCUGAGAUCUGAAGACAAAUGUGAAUGUUGGAGCCAUGAAAUAAUAAAGGAGAUGUUAUUUCUCACUGUCUAAUCAAAGCAUCUCUGGCUUAUAACUAAAGAGACUGGGCUGAAAAUAACAGGAAGGACCAUCAGGAUCUGGCUGCCCUGGAGGGCAAUGUUGGGAGACACAGAGGGUCUAAGGUUGACAUGUUGGUGGCAGGCCCACAAACUCAGUCCUGAGUGAGAAGCCUUCAGUUCCCAGCUGAUGGAACCAUCACAGAUAAGGGUCUGCUGGGGAUAGGGGGUGACCCAAUCACAGCAGCGUUUAACUUACGAUGGGAUUUUUUUCAGUGGGGAACACGAUAGCAUUUUAGCAGUGAAAGCAGCAGAACUGGCAGGAAGGCCUCUGCCCUUUCUAGAUCAUCACAAAUGGGGAGAAGUGGAUCCAAGGAGCCAUGGUGGAUGAGGAAGACAAGGCAGGGUGAAAAGCAGGCUGGGGAGGGAAGACAGAGAAAGAGGAGAGAAUCCCAUUGAAUAGCCACAGGAAGCCAUCAGGGAGGGGUCGUUCUUGCGUUCGGUCAGCUGGCCAAGCCAGAACCUAGGCUCCUGGCAUCUAGUGCAAAGCUCAGCCUCAUUCCCAACCCCCUCCCCCACCCCACCCCCAAUGGGAGAAAGGGUCACUGCUCUGGAAAGAAGGAAGAACUAAGCAGUGCUACCCUUGGCAAGCAAGGGAAGGUGAUCCUGACUAAAGCCAGAAGAGGGGCAGAGUUUGGUCUGCCAGGUUCAGGGAGAGAAGUCCAUAUCUUGAGGAAAACUUGGAGUAUAGAGUGUUCCUAAGGUAAAAGGGAGUAGCUGGCUGAGCAGCAGCUGAAGGUUUCAGACAGAAGCCCUGGGUCUCCCUCUCGGCUGUCAGGUCUUAGUGGGGUAAACCUGGGGAACGACUUAGGGCUGACAAACAUGAGAGACGAGGUUUUGGGGAGCCUGGACCCUCUGCCCCCGCCUCUGUGCCCAUAUGUCCCUGAGCCUGUUUCCUCACCAGUAAAACAGAUCACAGCACCUGCUGGAGCUUGGCUCAAGGCUGAGUCUUCACACCUGUUCUCUCCUCUCUCCUGUGCCCCCACUGCCCUCCACCGACUCUAGCUUCUUAGGGAUGUGAUCUGAUCAUCCAGCUCUCCUACAGGGAGUAUUUGCCAGGCCCUGUGUCAAACCCAGAACCUGAGAAGACUGUGCACUGCUUGAGGAACUCAGCAGGAGGAAGGGCACCGGGUAGUCCUGUAGGCGCGUGAUUACAGUGCCAGGUCAUCAGGGCUGAUGGAGUUAGGGAGAGACCUCACCUGGGAGGCCGUGUGUCAGCACCUCCACAGGAAUCCCUGGAGUUUUAUUUUUUAAAAAAUAAAUUUUAAAUUUUAAAUAAAAAAAUUUUUUAAAAAUUUAUAUUUUUUACAAGCCCUGAAAUGACAGUAUCUUAAAAGGGAGAGGAACACCUAGACAGUGCUCUUUCCUGAGAGGCCAGAGUCCUGCUUGGCCACGAGCUUGCCCAGGACCAUCCAGGGAUUUUUGCCUCUUGGAGAGAAAUCCCUGCCUGUACGGCCUUCUCCUCAUGAGGGGCCCAGAUGUUCGAGAGUGCAGUGUCAGAUACGGGUGAACAUGAACCUUCUCCACAGGCUGGCCAUUUGAGCAGUUCUGGCCUCUCACCUCUCUUCCUGGCAACUUGUGGAAUGUCUACACAGGGAGGCCUCACCACUUUUUCCAAACCUGAACUCAGUCCUUCCCCGCUUCACACUGCUAGUGGCAGGAAGCUGAGGCCAUGGGCCCCAUUUCAACGCUCUUCCAAUGUGACCUUGCUCUCCUCUGCCUCCUCUCCUCCAGGCCCAUUUCCCCAUCUGUUCACCAAAGAUGGACUGACCUAGGAAGCCUUCCACAUUUCCAAAACCAUCUUCUAUGAUAUAUCAGUGAACUUUAUCCUUAUUACUUCAGUCUGAGAGAUCUUGAUUGAGAGAAAGUGUUAAAACAAGCAUUUAAUCAAAGAAUUUUUUGCAUUAAAGAAUAAACUUUACAUCUCUUGGGAGCAGAAGUAAGUGUCAAGUGUCUUAAAGUCAAAGCAGACUUGGAAGGGUCUCUGAGGGAGGAAGACAGACACAGCCCUUUAGUGGUUCCCUGUCGCUUGUGGUCCUGACGCCUAAGCUUGGCCAUCAAAGCUCUGCACAAAAAAAAGCUCUGCACAACCCUUGAGGGUGGGUGCUUGAACUUUGUCCCCUAACCAGGCACAGUACUUGCCUGACCAAGCCUGGCAUAGACUGCUCAUUGGCUUGCCGGCGGGUGGAUGGCUCAAUCAGUCACUCUCUAGACUCCCUAAGGAAUGAAGUGCGCUGGUCUUUCUUAGAAGUGAAGGAAUUCAGUUUACCUCCCAAGUCUACCCUUGGCAACUCUGAAGUGACAAUAUUUUCCAGCCUCCAGACUUAUUUUACACACAGAUAUCACAGACACUAACAUGUCACAAAAGAUACGUGAGAAGAACCUCCUGAAAGGCUCGAUAGCCUGGUAUCCUUCCUUCAGCAACAAGUGGCUGUGAGUCACCUCCCCUCACUGGACCUCAGUUUCCUUAUUUGUAAAAUGAGGCAUUUGGGCUAGAUAACCCUUGAGUUCCUUUCUAGCUCUGGCAUCACCCUCAGAUGCCCUGGUUUCUAGAGCAGUCAUUGGACAGGGGUCAUGGUGACUCCAGGAUCUGAGUCAAGUCCACAUCUUGGAGCAUGGUGGAAUCGUGGCAAUGGCUGCAGCCCCCAGAAGAUGAGCCAGGCAGGAACUGGCUGAGGGGUUUUUCUGCUGAUGGUGAAAUGUCCUGGCAGAGUCUGUGCAGGUAGGUUGAUGCAGGUGAGGGGAGGGCUUGGACUCUCCCGCCCUUGUGGUCCCUGAGUAAUGUUUCCUUGCAGAGUCAGAAGCUAUCCAAGACUGUUCGUUGGGUGCCAACUAGAUUCAGCCACUCGUAUUGGCAAAGUGGGUGAACCAUCUUUCCACACACUCCUGGCCAGGCUUCCAGAAAGGUUUUUUGCUGCUACCCCUUAAAUGCUUUCCUGCAUUUCAUUGUCACUGUGUCUGAAGUCAUACCUUCCCAUAGCCUUUUGGUUCCCUGUCUAGGUGGCAUAUUCUCUGAGGAUGUUAUGGUCCUGAUGCCAUCAUCAGCCAGGAAUAACUUAGCUUAGUGUCAGAGCCACGAGGGGAAGACUUGUCCAAAGUUGGAGCUCUGACUAUUGAAAGAAACGUAAUAGUCCAUUUUCAGCCUCCCUGAGAGCACAUACGCAAAUUAAAAAACAUUUGAUCAGAAAGGAGACAUAAAUCCAUUAAAAACCAGAGAGAAAAGGAAUUGGAUAUUUAAUGUAUCUGAAAGCGGAAGCCCCUCUAAGCUAAAAAAGAACAAAGUACAAGAAGGCAAAGACCAACCAACUUGACCACAUCAAAGUUAAGUAUUUCCAAAGUCAAACAGUGUCACAAACAGAACCAAAAAGCAGAGCGGGUGAACUGUUUGCAGAUCUAUAAUGUGUAAAAAGAUGACACACAAAUCCUUAACAGUAAAAAUAACCCUAACUCUUACCCAACAGAUAGGUAUGUCAUUCACCUCAACAGUAUACAGAAGAGAAAAUAGACUUGACUAGAAAAUUUUUGAGAAAAUAAUUCAAUUUCCAUAAUAACAGGAGAUCAACAAUAAAAACAAUAAAGAAGCACUAGUUUUCACCAACAAAUUUGGGGCGGGGGGGAGUUUAAGAAUACUCAAUGCUGAUGAGAUACAGUCAAACAGGCAGUAAGUACAGGGAACUGUGAACUGGUAUAAACUUUUUGGAAAGCAAUAUGAUAGUCAAAGAGAAGGAGAAAGAUGAAAGUUUCAAGCAAGGGCCAAUGACCUAUAUAUUAAUACAACAUUUGAGUGUCUACUUUGAAAUCUGCCUGCAAGGCAGGAGGACCUGGGUUUGAUCCCUGAGUCGGAAAGACCCCCUGGAGAAGGAAACAGGGACCCACUCCAGUAUUGCUGUUGGAAAAUCCCAUGGACAGAGGAGCCUGGCGGCUGCAGUCCACAGAGUGGCAAAGAACUGAACGCAACUUGAGUGGGUGUUAGAAUGUGAAGAUAAAUAUGAUAUACUGUCUGCUCUUGGGCAUAUGGUCAAAGAGAUAGGAAAACACACAGAUUCUAAAUUGAUACAUAGUAAGAAGGCCAGAGAUAUGCUUGGGACAUGGGCAAAGCAUGGAGUAACCGAGAUGGGUAGGGCAAGUAUGAAGCUUCAUGGGAGUAUCCAGGGAGGUUACUCGUCUCUGCUUCCUGUCUCUGGUUGCUUGGAGACACUUAGAGGUGCGAGAACCAAUGAAGAGAUGAUUGUUUCGGUCCUGGUAGAGAAGGCAAGGCCUGAAUUAGGGUGGGGGCCAAGAGGAUAGACAGAAGGUAAAAUUAGGAGAAGCUGCUGACUGGCUGGUUGCUGGGUCAUAGAGUCUAGGAUGCCUUCCCUGUUUGUGUCUUGGGUGUAUGGAGUACUCGAGAGAAAGAGCAGGCUUAGUGGUGAGAAGAGGAUCAUUGAGCCCAAUUUUGCACAAGUUGAAUGAAAGGUGGGCAUCCAGGUAGAGAUGGCCUGUGAGGUUCUAGGAGAGAGCUUGAACCCCAGCAGGGAUUUGAAUGAAAGAUUCAGGUUGUGACUGAUGGUAACUGUAGCCAUGGGCUUUGCUGAGCUGCCCUUGGAGAAGGUGGCAGCUGAGAAGAGAAAGGAGGGUCUCGGGCUGAGAAUCCUUCCCCUGUUUAAGCGUGGACAGAGAGAAGGAAAAGCCCACAAAGGCAAAAGAGACAGCAAAAAGAGAUGGAAAAAGCACCUGGAGCCUGUGUUGGCAUGGAAACCCAGGGAUGUGGAGCAUUUCCAAGAGAGAAUAAUCAGUCAACAGAAGAGAAAAGCCAGUUAGAUAGGGAUGGAGGGCCCACCACAUGGAGCAGUUAGGGGCCCCUCAAGCCCCACGGGAGCAAUUCCUGUGAGAGUGGCCUGAAGUCCCCCCAAGGUGGGCAGAGGAAAGUGAAAGAGGGGCAUACAGCAGGCAGCAUGACACCUGUCCUGAGGAACUUGGAAUAUGAGGGAGAAGCUGCCAGGGUUAUGACUUAGGUCAGAGAAUUUCUGGUCUGGGCUGAGAAGAAGGUAGGAUCGACGUGAUGGAAGAGAGGCUGAAAAGGGCUGUCACCUAAAGUCUUCUUGUCUGUGUAAAUCAGAGGCAAGAUCAAAGGGCAGGGAUGGCAAAGAGGAAAAAUGGCCAUGAGUGACCUUGACUAGAGCUGUUUCCAAGAAAGUCUGUCUGCCAGUCUGGAGCUCACAAAGGAGGUGUGGGCCUCUCCCCAGGGGGCAGAUGGAGAACUCAGAGAAGUGCAGAGUUCAUGGAGCAGAGCCAGACACUGAGCUGUGACCGACAUUUCAGGGAUGGAUGCAGGGAUGCUCCUGAGGAGGCCAAGCCGGGGGCGGGGGAGGGGGGUCGCGGAGUCGGGGGGUGAUGGAAGAAAGGGCUGAAAAAUUGGGGGCCCUAGAAGUCCAGGGAGGAGAGAGCUUCCAGAGGUCAGCGUGACCAUUAAUGUGCCAAAGACACAGAAGUCAGAGGAGGUGAGAGUGUCCCUGGUCUUUGGAGACCCCGGCCAUAGCAGCUUUGGGGUAGGGGGCAAAACCCAACUGGGUGGGGGUGAUCUAGAGACUGGCUGAGAAAGCAGGAGGGGAAAGGGAGACCCAAGGAGACAGAAGUUUCUAGAAGGCACUGUCUCUUACACAUUGACAUUUGGAGGGAGGAGGGCUAUGCGAGGACACAAGAGCAGGAACAGGUAAUGAAAGGGGCCUGCGGAGCAGUGGGAUUAAGUGUAUAGGUGAAGGGAUUAGUUGUGUUGGUGGAAAGGGGCAAAAUUAAAUCAUGUACAUUUUACCAAGUAACCUGAUCUCUGUGUUUUUCUGAAGAUUGUUUUUCUGCCCUCUGAGUACUGACUACAGCUCUAAUUAGCAGUAGUUUCAUCCUGCCUCGUGUCUGGGGCUGUGUCUUAUUCAUUUUUGUACCUUUCGGUACCUAGCAACAGGCAGCAAGCUAGGUAAAGACAGAAUAAUUAUUUCCUGCUUGAAAUCAAAUGUCUGAAAUGGAGGUUCAGAAUUUUUUUUUUUUUAAACCACAAAGAUUCUGUGACCAUUCCCAAGGAAUCAACAAACAGGGAAAUGAAAGCCAAAGUUGAAGCUGUCUGUACGUGAGGCUGUCUGGGUCUCAGGAGAUGCACUCUGCAUUCUGGUGUGGGUACUGCUCUUCAUAGUUUUUAAUGGUGAGGUUGUGAUUGUUGUCUCAUCUGGUCAUUGCAAAUCCACCCUCCUGUCCCUAGUGAGGCAGACAGAGACCGCUAGCCCCAUUUCACAGAUUAGGAAACUGAGACCUAGAGCGGCAGGAUAGAAGGAAAGAAUCAUGAGCAAUGAAGCCGGUGGGGAUAGGUCUUGAAUGCUGCAUUCAGGGUCUUCACUCCACUGCCUGGUGUAAUCUAGCAUGUGCGCUCAGGCGCUAAGUCAUAUCUGACUCUCUGUGACCCCGUGGACUGUAGCCCACCAGGCUCCUCUGUCCAGGGAUUUUCCAGACAAGAAUACUGGUGUGGGUUACCAUGCCCUUCUCCAGGGGAGCUUCCUGACCCAGGGAUUGAACCCGUGUCUCCUGCAAUAGCAGGUGGAUUCUUUACCACUGAGCCACCUGGGAAGCCCAGUAUCUCCUAGACAUUGAGUAAUUCUAACUAUUUCUUCCAAAGUCAAGAAGGAGCCUUGGUCUAACUGGUUAAGCUUGGGCCUCAUGCCAUCCCCUGAUAAGAGGUGGGUGGCAAGAGGCGGGGCCUGAAGGAGGGGCCUCUGUGGGGUCUGUGUGAGAGAGCAUCCCAUGUCACACCACAGUCGUGUAAAGUGGAGAACGGGAGAUCUCCUUGAAUGUAACAAGGGCUCUUAAUGGGCAAUAAGGAAUGCUGGAAAGCCUGACACCCCCACUCUCACCCCCAGACAUCUACAUAAGAAGUAACCAGACAGAGGCAGGCAGACCUGUUUAGGAGGCCAUUGUCCAGAUAAGAGUGGGAGAAGUCUGAACUCAACCAGUGGAGAUGGAAUAGAUCCAAAACUUAGAGGAGAUUAAAAACCAGAAAUGGUGAUUAGCUUUUAGGAGGAGAGAUAGAGUGAAGACAAAGACUCCUGUGUGUCUUGGGUAGACAGUGGGGAGGCCCCUGGGAAGAUGGGGAAUGAGUUUGAGGGGCAAGACAGUGGUCUCAGAUACAGCCAAGGGGCCAGGAUCAUAGCCAGGUGGAGCCCAGCAGGCACUUGAGUCAAGGGUCAGGGGCUCAGAAAAAGAUUCUGCUGGGAGUACUGGCCUAGGCCAUGACCACUCAAGUAACAGGAACCCUGAGAAUGAGUAAGAUCACCAGAGAAAGAGAACAGGACAGGGCCCAGGGCAAAAUCCUAAGUUACAGUGAUAUUUGAAGUACCAGUCAAGGUGUGGGUAGGUGACAAAGGAGAAAGAGAAGGAAAGGCUUGAGACAUGCGACAAACAACCAGCAGAAUGGGUUGCCAUGGAAACCAAGGUAGUGAAGGGUUUCAAGGAGAAAGUAAUCAACACUGUCAAACGCAGCAGAGAAUUCCAAUAAGAUAAAGACAGAUUCCUGCCUCCCCCCCCCCCCCCCCGCCCCGCUUUGGAUCUGAUGAUUAGUAAGCUUUGGAUGACCUCAAUAAGAGCAUUUUGGGGGAGUGAUGGGGCAAAACUUGAAUAAUGUUGAGAUGUGAGGGGGAGGUGAAUUCAUCACUGAGAGUCCUUUGAGGAGUCCGGAAGGAAGACUUGGAGAUGUGAAGGACAAGAGUGGGGACAUUGAGCACAGGGAAGACAGAAGCAAGUUCAUAGGCUGAUACCCACUUCCAACUGCGAUAAGUGUUGUUUAGUGACAAAGCUGAUUCAUUCCACAUAUUCUGGUUUACCACCUGUUUGUGCCUGGCAGUGUGCCCAGCAUUGUGAAUUCUGUGGUGAAUGAAUUGAAAUAGGCAGAUUUCUGUUCUCGUGGCACUUAUAUGAUAGUAGGGGAGAAAGAUGUGAAUCACGUAAUCACACACACGAAUGUGUAAUUUCCAACAUUGACAGCACACACUGAAAGAAAGGUAGCAAGUGCUGGAGGAUGUACAACAAGGGCCUCUGCCCCAGGCCAACUCCAGAGGCUUCCCUGCGGCGGUGACACUUGAACCAAGUUGUUAAGGGGACAGAAUUCAUAGAACAGAGCAAAUUCGAGAAGAGCCUUCUGGCCAGAGGGAACCGCCCGCCUGUGCAAAGGGAGGUACAUUGAGACCAGAGAGGCAGGCAGGGCUGGGCGGGUAGAGCUCUGGAGGCCAGGACUGAGCUGUGUACAUCCUGAGAGUGAGGGAAGCGUGCUUGAGACCUGCCUGAAUAUCUCCGGUGAUCUGAGACUGGCUGGUCCCUGGAGAAGUCAUUAGAGGAAGCACAGGUGGGCUUAGGGAGACCAGUUGGGAAGUUUCUGUUGCCAUGGUGGACAGGAUUUGGACAACACAUUCCGGUCAGUCUUGGUGCUGGAUGGGAUGAAGAGGGGUAAGGAGAGGAGGAGGUGUUCCAGAUGACCCCUGAGUUUAGGGCUUGCCUUACUGGAGGUGUGGCAGUGCUCUUCUCAGAACUGGGGAGCCCUACAAAGAAACGAGGUUGUGAGGCAGACCCCCGAGUCUGGUGCUAGACGGCUAAGACAUGCAAGCCGGGAGCUGGGGAGGAGGUAGUUGAAUGCAUGGACCUGGAACCCAGAGUGAGAAAUCACAGAGACCGUUUCAGUACUCCUGUGGGAUCCUGAGUGAAAUUGAACUGAAGUUGUAUCAGGUUUCUGGAGCAUGCUGAGGGGAUGAGGGAGGCUGAGGAAGAAGAGGCCAAGCACCAACAUUUGGGGCCUAUAAAAAAGAAAGAAAGAUCCUCCUGGGGCACAGAAAAGAAAGGACAAGAGAGGUCUUUCAACAGAAAGAUGGAGUGGUCAGCAGUGGCUAUGUGCAGAAAGGUCAGAGGUCAAGGGCAAAUCCAGGAGCUCUUCUGAGGUGCAACUGCCCAAUAGCCAUGGCAUCCCUGGAAUUGGGCAGUGUAGUGUCCCUGCCGAUUGGUACCCCCCAGGGCCCAUGGGAGACCUCAGGAGACCGUAGCAGAGGCAGCCUGUGUAGGGGGUGAUUAAGGAAAGAAGAAGUGAGGGAGCAAAGUCUAAGGCCUUUAAAUUAAAUUUUAGUCUUCAAGGAAAGAGCAAUGCUCGCAUACAGAUAUUCUGAGGGAAGGGAGCCUGAGUAAUGGAGUGAUUAAGGAUGGAGACAAUUAGUGAGAUGAGUUCCCACAGGGGUUGGGUUCAAGUGUGGUGGUGUAUAAAUUAGUUUGGGGCAAUAAUGUAUAUUUGACUGGAUGGGCAAAAUUUAAUUAUUUACCUUUUAGAGAGUAACUUGAUCUCCAUGUUCUUUUGGGAGCUUUUAUCUGACCUGUGUACCAAAUACAGCUCUAAUUAGCACAAUUUUUAUCCUGUCUCAGGGCUGGAAUCAUGUCUUAUUUUUUGUGUUUCUCAGCACCUAGCAAUAGGCAGUAAGGUCUUUGGGUGCCAAAUCAAUAUUAUCUGCCUUGGAAUGAAAAAUCUGAAGUCAACAUUCAAACUUUUUGACCAAAAAGAAUCUGUGAUAAUUCUCCAGAAGUACAGUGUGGGAAAGAAUUGGUAUAAAGUCCUGGUGGCAGGAGUUUGGGGUAGUAGAGGGUGGAGAGAAAGUACAAGAGUGAGCUCUCUUCGUCCUUAUACGUUCUGUCCCAUUUAUGCAUUUCACCAUCGUCUCAUAUGAACUUGACCUUCCCCUGUAGGAAGGAGAGCAUCAUCUCCCAUCAUAGAGGAGGGAACAGAAACCAGAGAAGGGGAGCUUCCCCUAAUGGUCCAGUGGUCAAGAAUCUAUCUCCCAAUGCAGGGGAUGUGGGUUCAAUACCUGGUAGGGGAACUAAGAUCCCACAUGCCUCCGGGCAAGUAAGCUUACACACCGCAUUGAAGACCUAGCAUAGUGCCCCACCCCCACCCCCCCCAAAAAAAAAACAGAGAAGGAAGUGCCUUGCUGACAUCAAGCACAAAUAACAGGAGCUGGAUUCAACCUCAGUCCAUCGAGGAUCACAGUCCUUCUUUCCAGGAUCAGGUUGAGCUGAGAGAAAGAGGAAGAGGAGCCUGUGAGGUUCAGGUGGAGACGCUCCACUUGGACAUGUGCGGAAGGUUGGAGACACACUCCGACAGGAGACCGGAUAUUAAAGCAUCGUAUUAAACUCCAGUGAUAACAUCUGCAAUGCUAGCACCAGAGCAGGCAGCUCAUCUGUCUUAAGAAGCCUCCCUACCUCGUGAAUGAUAUACACGUUCUAUAUUUACACUGAAGACUUCUAUAUUUUUUUUCAAUGUUUGUCUUUAACCCAUCUGAAAUGUAUUUUCACGUUUAGUGUGACACAGAGAUCUAAUUUGAUCUUUUUCCGAACGGAUAACCAGUUGGCUAAGCACCAUUUAUUGUCCCAGCACUGUCUUUUCUCCCAGUUCCCUAUGUCUACACUCUGUUCAGGUCUGUUGAUCUGUUUGUCCACUUCUGAGCCAACAGCAGAUUUUAAUAAGCAAAAGCUUUAUCUUCCUUCCCGAUCAGGUAAGUGCCCCUCCCUUCUUGGCCCUUUAUUCUUUUUUUAAAAGUAUGUUGGUUGUAUUGCACAUUUACUUUUUCACACACACACUUGGGAAUCAGCUUGUCGAAGUUCCAUGAAAAUCCUGUGGGAAUUUUGAGAGGGAUUUCACUGAAGGGAGAAAUGACAUCUUUAGGAUAUCAGUUCUUCCCAUCCGUGAACAUGGUAUCUGUCUCCAUUUAAUCAGUCUUAUUUGUUUGGUUUGAUUUUUAAUGCCUUUUAAUAAAGGUUGGUUGAUUUUGUCAUAAAGGUUUUUCACAUUUCUUAUUAGGUUUAUUCCUGAGUACCUUAUCAGUUGUGUUCCUUUUUUGAGUGUAAAAGGCUUUUCUUUUUUUCUUUUUGCUUUCCAAAUUUUAAUCAAUUUACUAAUCACGAUGCUUCAUUCACUGACACACUCUCGGAGUAAAUGUGCUUUGUCCCUGGGUACACAAAUGAGAACACAGCACACAUAUAAAGUAGAACUAAUUGACUGGAAAUGAAUUAGAAUUUUUGAAUUAAAAUUUAAUUAUACAAGUAAUACAUGAAUACAUUUUCCUUUCAGUAAAAUUAGAGUAUUACAGAUAAAGAAGUCUCUACUGAACACCACCCCUCCCAGCCUCUACCAAGACCCCUUUCCCCCUGCUGAGCUGAUUAUUACAGCAUGACGGAUUGCCUAGUUCAUUCUCUCCACUGAGCUGAGAUGAAACUCCCUCACACACUGAAUCGCCAUGUCUAGGUGCUGUUGGGUGAAAACAUGAUGCUUGGAGCUCUGACAGCCAUCUUGUGACCAGGAGGGGAAGGCCAGGAGAUGCAACUCUGUGCUGACUCCAGCUAGAACACCUGGCACCACUGAUUUCUGGACUUGCUUUGAAAUAAAUAAAAUGUUCUUACUGUUU